rnacentral:rRNA from 1 species
UCUACCAUGCAGUCGAGCGGGGUCCAACCGGUGGCAACACUGGGGAAGACCUAGCGGCGAACGGGUGAGUAACACGUGAGGAACCUGCCCCGAAGACUGGGAUAACUCCGGGAAACCGGAGCUAAUACCGGAUGCCCUCACCAGGUCGCAUGGCCAGGUGAGGAAAUGGAUUCCGCUUCGGGAGGGCCUCGCGGCCUAUCAGCUUGUUGGUGAGGUAACGGCUCACCAAGGCUUCGACGGGUAGCUGGUCUGAGAGGACGAUCAGCCACACUGGGACUGAGACACGGCCCAGACUCCUAGGGGAGGCAGCAGUGGGGAAUCUUGCGCAAUGGGCGAAAGCCUGACGCAGCAACGCCGCGUGGGGGAUGAAGGCUUUCGGGUUGUAAACCCCUUUCAGCAGGGACGAUAAUGACGGUACCUGCAGAAGAAGCCCCGGCCAACUACGUGCCAGCAGCCGCGGUAAUACGUAGGGGGCAAGCGUUGUCCGGAUUUAUUGGGCGUAAAGGGCUCGUAGGCGGCUUGCAAGUCGGAUGUGAAAAUUCCAGGCUCAACCUGGAAGCGCCAUUCGAUACUGCUAUGGCUAGAGACCGGUAGGGGAGCACGGAAUUCCUGGUGUAGCGGUGAAAUGCGCAGACAUCAUGAGGAACACCAGUGGCGAACGCGGUGCUCUGGGCCCGGUACUGACGCUGAGAGCGAAAGCGUGGGGAGCGAACAGGAUUAGAUACCCUGGUAGUCCACGCCGUAA